CUCCAGGGGUGUGUUUACUGGAAGCAAAUAAAGCUUCAGAUUCAGGGACCCUCUGCAGAAGCCCCUUCUAAAGGCCCUGGUCCAGGUCACAUUGUAAUUGUAAUGUUGUGUUCUUUUCCUUAAAGAAGUUCUGCCCGCCCUCCAGGACAUAAACUCUGAAGCCCCCAAGCCGAAGCCCCGUGUGGAUCUGGCCCCGCCUGGCUCCAGGACAUAGGAUUCCAGAGGAGAAGAAUCUGAGGGUGGUGUUUUCAAAAGGAAACCCUCCCUGGAGGCUAAUAAGAGAGGGUUUCCUGUAGGAUGAGGAAGAGAGACACUCAAGUGCCAAAGAACCAGGCAGCCACUUGCCUGCCAAAGGGCACAGGUGCUCCAGGGCCAACAAAGAUGAGGAUGUCGUGUGCUCACAGCAUAACCCCUUUACCUCCCCAACUGUUCCCCAUUGAGCUCCUAUCAGCACUUCUAGUUCCUUGGCUGGGGGACACCUUGAUUUCUCCAUCCACAACCACAGAUAACACCUCUGGACCCCGGUGUGGGAAUCUCGAUUCCCAGAGAUGUCCUUGUGUUGUUUGAAAACAACACUGCAAAAGCACUGGCGGUUUUAUGCUAAUAUACAAACAUGCUCAUAAUAAACAAUGCACUGAGACAUAGAGAUCAAUAAAUUGCU